GUGGCCUGGAAAUGAAUCUAGACAAGACAAAAGUUAUGACAAAUACAGAUGUCAAGGCGAAUAUCACAGUUAACCAUACUGCCAUCGAAACGGUCGAUAAAUACGUGUAUUUGGGACAAGAGAUAGUGACUGGAAAGAAUAACCAAACCAAUGAAAUCAACAGACGCGUACGGCUAGCCUGGGCAGCCUAUUCCAAUCUCGAGUUUGCCUUCAAAAUGAAACUUAAGGCCGAACAAAAAGCACGCAUAUUUGAUCAAUGUAUCCUGCCUGUUCUCACUUAUGGAGCUGAAACCUGGGUUUUCACCAAAGGCAUAUUACAGAAAACUGGUGGGGAUCACAUUGAGAGACCGUAAAACGAAUGAGUGGCUGAGACAGCAGAG